ensembl:processed_transcript
UUCAAGCCUGCAGCUCUUGUCUGGUUUGUUUUAUAAUACAGUUGGGAGUAAAGCAAUUUUUAACCAUUUUAAGAGGGUGAUUUGUAGCUUGGAAAUCAGCAAAAACUGCACACAACUGAAUUAAACUGUGUUUCUGACAAGAAGCAAGAACACAGGCAAUGGCUCACCAUCAGAUACAUCACCACAGUCAACACCAUCAUCAUCCUCACCAUCAGCGGCGGCACUCGUCUCAUCGCCACCACCAUCAUCACCACGACACACACCAUCAGGAGGACCACGAGGAGAAGAGCAUUUCAGAUGUCAUCAGUGGUCAUCAUCAUAUUCAGGAACAUUAUAACCAUCGUCACUCCAAAGCAGACAGCCAUCAUCAUCAUCACCACCAUCAACAGCAUCCACAACGUCAGGACAAACGACACACACCGAGAAAAAAAUCUCACUCCAAAGCUUCAGUGACUUCUUCAAACUCUUCUGGGUCUUCCUCUAGUUCCUUGUCAAAGACUUCAAGCUCGUCCAGUUCUGAUUC